AAUAUAAAAUGAUAUGUCAGCCGGAGUCACCUAAUGUGACCUGUACGGCUGAACCUAUAGCUCAUCACUCUAAUCCUGCACACGAGUCGGAACCACCUUUGGUGGUUUGUACGACAGGGCUGGGUGCAAAUAAAUACGCUCAAGUGCUACGAUCAUGUGAAGGCUGUGCGAAUAAUCUGAAGGAAAUAUUUGUAAAACAUGUUCAUUUAAGCAACAUCUAUAGCAUGCUAUUAACAAUUAAAAGGCAGAAUCAUGCUUGCAUGCACUUAAAACAAAACAUUAACCAUGAAAUUCAAAGCCUAGUAGAUUGGUGAACCAAGACUCAACU
rnacentral:lncRNA from 1 species